UGUGUAGGCGGUUGCUUAAGUUUGGUGUGAAAUCUCCCGGCUCAACUGGGAGGGUGCGCCGAAUACUGAGUGACUAGAGUGCGGGAGAGGAGAGUGGAAUUCCUGGUGUAGCGGUGAAAUGCGUAGAUAUCAGGAGGAACACCGGUGGUGUAGACGGCUCUCUGGACCGUAACUGACGCUGAGACACGAAAGCGUGGGUAGCAAACAGGAUUAGAUACCCUGGUAGUCCACGCCCUAAACGAUGCAUAUUUGGUGUGGGCAGUUCAUUCUGUCCGUGCCGGAGCUAACGCGUUAAAUAUGCCGCCUGGGGAGUACAGUCGCAAGGCUAGAA
rnacentral:rRNA from 1 species